UACGUAGGGGGCGAGCGUUGUCCGGAUUUAUUGGGCGUAAAGAGCUCGUAGGCGGCUUGGCAAGUCGGGUGUGAAACCUCCAGGCUCAACCUGGAGACGCCACUCGAUACUGCUAUGGCUAGAGUCCGGUAGGGGACCACGGAAUUCCUGGUGUAGCGGUGAAAUGCGCAGAUAUCGGGAGGAACACCUGUGGCGAAAGCGGACUCACUGGACCACAACUGACGCUGA
rnacentral:rRNA from 1 species